UGCAAAUGUCUCUCCAUUUUUUUAUUUUUUUGGGAGGGGAGGGGGGGUGGGGGUCAAUUCUAGACUUUUCCAAGAUUGGGGGUGGUCCGGACCCCCUUGGACCCCCCGGGAUUUACGCCUAUGCGUAGACGCCUCAUUGAGCGCUGAGUCCUACGUUACGUCACCGCCAUCUUGUAGCGGUCGGAGCUCCCAAGUCAUGCGCAGUGUGGGCUUGUUUCAACCGUUUUACAAAACUGGAUUCAUUGUCAUUACCUUUCACAGCUUUAGCCUGAGUACCAGGACAUCUCAGAACUCAUUGGACUUCUCCCAGUUUGGCCAGCAGACUGAACCUCCUGCCUGUGGCCAGUGUUACCAGUAUAAUAUAAAUGAAUAAAUUUGUGUUUUAUUCCACACUUUUAUUCUUUCACUUUUUGUGUAUUCUUAAGAGAAAUAGCUCAAUCUGAAGUAUUAGUAUAUUAAGACAACUUAUGUAAUGAAAUAAAAAUAAUUUACUCUGUUAGAAUAUUUUCACUCUGUCUUUGCUGUCCAUAGCAGAGUUGAGUUGUACUGUAAUAUUUUUUUCUGAAAAAAGUAA